CCUACGGGUGGCAGCAGUGAGGAAUAUUGGUCAAUGGGCGCGAGCCUGAACCAGCCAAGUAGCGUGAAGGAUGACUGCCCUACGGGUUGUAAACUUCUUUUAUAAAGGAGUAAAGUGAGGCACGUGUGCCUUUUUGUAUGUACUUUAUGAAUAAGGAUCGGCUAACUCCGGGCCAGCAGCCGCGGUAAUACGGAGGAUCCGAACGUUAUCCGGAUUUUUUGGGUUUAAAGGGGGCGUAGAUGGGUUGUUAAGGCAGUCGUGAAAGUUUGAGGCUUAAACGUAAAAGUGCAAUUGAUACUGGCAGUCUUGAGUACAGUUGAGGUAGGCGGAAUUCGUGGUGUAGCGGUGAAAUGCUUAGAUAUCACGAAGAACUCCGAUUGCGAAGGCAGCUUACUAACCUGCCACUGACAUUGAUGCUCGAAAGUGUGGGUAUCAAACAGGAUUAGAUACCCGAGUAGUC
rnacentral:rRNA from 1 species